GUAAGUAAGACAUAACCCACAGCUGUCUGAGCGGGUCGCUACACUAUAUAAUUUCAAUAAUAGGCAAUGAAAGCACUUGUGCUGAUUACAGACACUUAAUAGCGCGUUUUUAAGUUUCAAAAGUUUGCAUUCCCCCAGCCCUCAACAGUGGCACAUGAUGCAGGUACAGUGCAUGUGUGGGAAUCUGACAAGUCUGUAGUUGGUGGCUGAGUAGUUCAAGCACAGCAGGCAACGGAUUGCACACAGCAGAGCUGGGGACAGAUAGGCAGGGACAGACUGGCAGAGACAGGGAGUCUCAGGAGACAGACUGUGAGUCAGUGAGGGUGGUGAAAGGGAAAGAGCCAGGGAGAGAGACUUCAGAUGACAGUGUCACAGCCAGGGCAAGGACCAGCUGUCAACCUUGUUGCCAGCAGCACCAGUAUAGGGGACAGUGGCACAGCAUUGUCCAGUUAUGCUUUUGUGCCAUCACUGAGGUAUCACCCACAAUUUAUAGAACCGCAAACUCUUGUCAACGGAGUGUUGAUGUUUCAAGAAAAAUGGUUUCGCCUGGCUACAUUUCCGCUGGCUACAUUAUAAUCCAUCAAGAAAAGGAGUGUUGUGUUUUCACUGUAGCCAAGGGUUUUCAAGCCAGCCAUCUUUUGGCCAAAGAGCAGAUGCUGCCUUCAUUAGUGCGGCAUGUAGCAAGACAGAGACAAGCCUUUAGAGGCCACAUGAAUGACAGUGGGAAUUUAUACCAGCUUUUGAAACGUAGGGCAGAAGAGGAUGAUCCCAUUUUACUGAAGUGGUUAACAGAGUGUACCACAAUGUACACAGGCCCCAAAGCACAGAAUCAAAUCAAAUUUUAUUUGUCACAUACACAUGGUUAGCAGAUGUUAAUGCGAGUGUAGCGAAAUGCGUGUGCUUCUAGUUCCGACCAUGCAGUAAUAUCUAACAAGUAAUCUAACCUAACAAUUUCACAACAACUACCUUAUACACACAAGUUUAAAGGAAUGAAUAAAAUAUAUGAAUGAGCGAUGGCCGAACGGCAUAGGCAAGAUGCAGUAGAUGGUAUAGAGUACAGUAUAUACAUAUGAGAUGAGCAAUAUAGGUUACGUAAACAUUAUAUAGAGUGGCAUUGUUUAAAGUGACUAGUGAUACAUUUAUUACAUACAUUUUUUCAUUAUUAAAGUGGCUAGAGAUGAGUCAGUAUGUUGGCAGCAGCCACUCAAUGUUAGUGAUGGCUGUUUAACAGUCUGAUGGCCUUGAGAUAGAAGCUGUUUUUCAGUCUCACGGUUCCAGCUUUGAUGCACCUGUACUGACCUCGCCUUCUGGAUGAUAGCAGCGUGAACAGGCAGUGGCUCGGGUGGUUGUUGUCCUUGAUGAUCUUUUUGGCCUUCCUGUGACAUUGGUUGCUGUAGGUGUCCUGGAGGGCAGUUAGUUUGCCCUUGGUGAUGCGUUG
rnacentral:lncRNA from 1 species